rnacentral:rRNA from 1 species
UACGUAGGGUGCAAGCGUUGUCCGGAAUUAUUGGGCGUAAAGAGCUCGUAGGCGGUCUGUCGCGUCUGCUGUGAAACUCAGGGCUUAACCCUGAGCUUGCAGUGGGUACGGGCAGACUAGAGUGGCGGUAGGGGAGACUGGAAUUCCUGGUGUAGCGGUGAAAUGCGCAGAUAGUCAGGGAGGGAACACCCGGUGGGCGAAGGCGGGUCUCUGGGCCGUAACUGAACGCU